CAGAGUGUAAACCGCACGAAUCGGGACCGGUUCGAGCCCAACUCUCCCCGGCCGGCACCAACGAGAGAGUAAUCGAGGGAAGCCCUAAAUAUAAACCGCGCCGCGCCCAAGAACUCCGGACCUCGCCGUCGACUCCUUUACCUAGAAGAAGCGCCCGCGGAUCGCAAGUUGUAGAACUCGUAAAACCCUAGCCAAGAUCAGAUAAAAUAUCGCCUGAGGCUAAAGCUUAUUUGGUGACUUGGUUUUUCUUCGCUUUAUUUUGCUAGACAUAGAUGGGAAAAGCCAAGGGUGGAUCAAUUUUCAUCAGGCUGGUUUCGGCUGCAGGAACUGGAUUUUUUUACGUUAAGCGAAAGAAUCCUCGGAGAAUCACAGAGAAACUCGAGUUUCGUAAGUACGACCCGCGUGUGAAUAAACAUGUUCUCUUCACAGAGGCAAAGAUGAAGUGAUUGAUAUCUUUCAUGAUGUUUCUUCCAAUCUGUCGCCGGAUUUACCGUCCAGAAUUCCAUAUGUAGCUAACCGGCCAUAUCACUCAACCACCAAAGAGUGAUUAGCAUUCCAGUUUCAGGGUUAAAAAAAAACAAAAAAACAUAAAUCUCAGAUUUUGUACUUUUCCAGCGAAAUUCUUGAUCUAGUUGGCCGCACUAUUCGCCUUCUUUUA